rnacentral:rRNA from 1 species
UAUGGACGAAGCAGAAGUGAGAAUGUCGGCUUGAGUAACGAAAAUAUAGGUGAGAAUCCUAUACCCCGAAAACCCAAGGUUUCCUCCGGAAGGCUCGUCCGCGGAGGGUAAGUCAGGACCUAAGGCGAGGCUGAAAAGCGUAGUCGAUGGACAACGGGUUAAUAUUCCCGUACCAUUAUUUAUUGAUAACGAGGGACGGAGAAGGCUAAGCUGGCCGGAUAUUGGUUACCGGUUUAAACGUUCGAGAUGAUGAGAAACGGAGAAAACGUUUUGAGUUGAGGCGUGAGUACGAGAUGCUACGGCAUUGAAGCAGUGUAUGUCAGACUUCCAAGAAAAGCUCGCAAUGUCAUAAAUAAAUAAUGCCUGUACCAUAACCGACACAGGUGGGUAGGUAGAGUAUACUAAGGGGCGCGAGAUAACUCUCUCUAAGGAACUCGGCAAAAUGACUCCGUAACUUCGGGAGAAGGAGUGCCUUAUUUAUAAGGUUGCAAUAACAAGAUCCAAGCAACUGUUUACCAAAAACACAGGUCUCCGCUAAGUCGUAAGACGAUGUAUGGGGGCUGACGCCUGCCCAGUGCCAGAAGGUUAAAGAAGUUGGUUAGCAUUAGCGAAGCUGAUAACUGAAGCCCUGGUGAACGGCGGCCGUAACUAUAACGGUCCUAAGGUAGCGAAAUUCCUUGUCGGGUAAGUUCCGACCCGCACGAAAGGCGUAAUGAUUUGGAUACUGUCUCGGAGAGGGGCUCGGUGAAAUAGACUUGUCUGUGAAGAUGCGGACUACCUGCACCUGGACAGAAAGACCCUAUGAAGCUUUACUGUAACUUGAAAUUGAAAUUGGACUUUAUUUGCGCAGUAUAGGUGGGAGGCAUUGAGUUUAUUCUUGCGGGAAUUUAGGAGCCAUCAGUGAGAUACCACUCUGGUAAUGUUAGAUUUCUAACUUUGUAUCAUAAUCUGGUCAAAGAACAGUUUCAGGCGGGCAGUUUGACUGGGGCGGUCGCCUCCUAAACGGUAACGGAGGCGUACAAAGGUUUCCUCUGAACGUGUAGAAAUCGUAUCUAGAGUGUAAAGGCAUAAGGAAGCUUGACUGUGAGACCUACAAGUCGAGCAGGGACGAAAGUCGGUCUUAGUGAUCUGACGGUGCUGAGUGGAAAGGCCGUCACUCAACGGAUAAAAGUUACUCUAGGGAUAACAGGCUGAUCUCCCCCAAGAGUUCACAUCGACGGGGAGGUUUGGCACCUCGAUGUCGGCUCAUCGCAUCCUGGGGCGGUAGUACGUCCCAAGGGUUGGGCUGUUCGCCCAUGAAAGCGGUACGCGAGCUGGGUUCAGAACGUCGUGAGACAGUUCGGUCCAUAUCCGGUGUAGGCGUUAGAAUAUUGAGAGGAGCCUUCUUUAGUACGAGAGGACCGAGAAGGACAUACCUCUGGUGUACCAGUUAUCGUGCCAACGGUAAACGCUGGGUAGCUAUGUAUGGAGUGGAUAACCGCUGAAAGCAUCUAAGUGGGAAGCCCACCUCAAGAUAAGUAUUCUCAUCACGUAAGUGAGUAAGGUCACGGUAAGACUAACCGUUCGAUAGGCAUUAAGUGUAAAUGUAGUAAUAUAUGAGCUGAGAUGUCCUAACAGACCGAGGACUUGAAUUU